AUUAAAGUUGUUGCGGUUAAAAAGCUCGUAGUCGAAUUUGUGUCCCGCGCCGCCGGUUCAUCGUACGCGGUGUUAACUGGCGUGUCGCGGGACGUCCUGCCGGUGGGCCUAAGUCCGCAAGGACGUCGGCCCGACCCAAUCCUGCCGCGGUGCUCUUCAUUGAGUGUCGAGGUGGGCCGGCACGUUUACUUUGAACAAAUUAGAGUGCUUAAAGCAGGCUAAAACUUCGCCUGAAUACUGUGUGCAUGGAAUAAUGGAAUAGGACCUCGGUUCUAUUUUGUUGGUUUUCGGAACCCCGAGGUAAUGAUUAAUAGGAACGGAUGGGGGCAUUCGUAUUGCGACGUUAGAGGUGAAAUUCUUGGAUCGUCGCAAGACGGACAGAAGCGAAAGCAUU
rnacentral:rRNA from 1 species